AUUGAACGCUGGCGGCAGGCCUAACACAUGCAAGUCGAACGAGUGGCGGACGGGUGAGUAAUGUCUGGGAAACUGCCUGAUGGAGGGGGCUAACUACUGGAAACGGUAGCUAAUACCGCAUACCAUCAGAUGUACCCAGAUGGGAAUAGCUUGUUGGGGGGGUAACGGCUCACAAAGGCGACGAUCCCUAGCUGGGCUGCGCGGGUGAACAGCGGAACUGGAGAUGAGACACGGUCCAGACGCCUACGGGAGGCAGCAGUGGGGAAUAUGGCACAAUGGGCGCAAGCCUGAUGCAGCCAUGCCGCGUGUAUGAAGAAGGCUGUCGGGUUGUAAAGUACUUUCAGCGGGGAGGCGUUACCCGCAGAAGAAGCACCGGCUAACUCCGUGCCAGCAGCCGCGGUAAUUC
rnacentral:rRNA from 1 species